rnacentral:lncRNA from 1 species
ACAGACAGCAGCCCCCGGCCUCCGGUGCUUCGCUGCCUCGACAUGCCGCCGAAAAUCAAGACUUUCAGUGGACGUUCAUAUUAUGUCCGGGAGAUUGACCUCGUCGACGGCUUCAUCGUCUACAUCGAGUUGCAGAUACGUGACCUUGCGCCAGACACACCUACAGAUGAAUAUGUUUGGAUGGCCAGCACAUGCAAAUUCAAGAUCGACUCAUCUUUGCCGUUUUCAUCUAUCCAAUGGCAGCGGGGAUGCAAGUUAGGCUCCUCUGAGGUCAACAAAUCCAUGCGUGAUAAGCUUAAACUUCGUGAUGCCGAAACAAUCUGCAAGAUAGGCCUGCCCGUCCUGAGCCUUCAUGAGGAUGGCAUUGUUUACAUCCUCACCACCCUUUUCCGCGAGAAGAGGCACACCAAGUCAUGGGUGCUUGCCAUUGACAUGAAAAAGAAGAUGGUGCAGGAGCUGGACGAGUUCGAGAACAACCGAAAAGUCUACUUAUUCGGGGGCUUCUUGAUUCCAACUAGGAUCACCAAAUAUCUCCAACUUGAUCCAGGUAAUUCAAAGUCCCUGUUGCCUAACCAGCUGUCGUUAGGAACUGGUAUUGUUUAUUCUUGGGGUUUAAUUUCAGAUUUUAAACGAGGACCCACCGGGGAAGGUCCUGAUUGAGCUAGAGUUCACUUAUAGUCUCUACAUUGUUAUUAUACCUUUUCUUUCUUCUCCAUAGGGAUAGGUAAAGUAAGGGUUACUAGUUAGAAGCCCGUGCGUUGCUACGGAACAAAAAAAAGUUCAACAGACAAUAAAUAUGGUCCUACGUAUAAACAAAAUCAUUUAGUCCCUCUAGUCUGAUCAAGAUUACCAUCUCCUUACUAAGCUUCUAAUUUUUUUUAAAUUUCCUAUAUGUACGUAGCACUGUUUCGAUAGUUGUGUAAUGACUGAUGAAAUGGACAAAACCCAAACUGCUAUUCGGGGCCUAUAUUCUUGGGAUGGUUUACACUUAAUAGUGGCACCUACAUAUAUAUACUCAAAAGUGUUACAUCUAUGCUACUAUUAUAUUGUUAGCCCCCAUCUUUGUAUUAAACUUUUAAAUCUCCUUCCUGAUAUAUACUUGGCCCUACCUUUGAUCUAGUUAAUCAUAUGAUGGCAUCCUAUCCUAAAAAUCCAGAUUUUCUCCAAAGUAUUAUGUAAAUCAGGUAACAGAGGUAAAGAAUCUGAAACUGAACAAGGACCAAUUUAUAAUAAACUGAUGUUCCCCUUUUCCCCUCCCAACAUUUCUUCACAACCAUGCAUCAGAUCAGCACAGAAGUAAAUCAGUAAUCAUUUUUAUUCAAAAAAUUUGUGCCAUGCCGUACAACAUUUCACCUAAUUGGUUGGGAUGUCUUAAACUGAUUAGAGAUGGAUUUUGGUCACCUAAGCUCCCUGAAUUUUCCUUUUUGAUGCCAUGAAGUACAAGGUUUCACCUGAUUGGCUGGGGAUGUCUUAAACUGAUUGGAGAUGGAUUUUGGUCGCCUAAGCUCCCUGAAAUUUCUCCCCUUGGGAUCUGGUAGUCUAAACAAUAACCUAGGUCCUUGCAAAUUUCUCCCCUUGGGAUUUUGGUCUUCUAGGUUCCAUAGGGAUAGGCAGAGUAAGGGUUAUUUGGGGCUGCCUGCUACGGACUAGUUGUUUAGGAAUCAUUUUCUUUUGCUAAACUAAAGACAUGUUUUUUGUACUGUAGAUACAACAAAGCAAAACCACAAGCGACAAAAGAUGAUGCUGCAACGACACUCGUGCGUGGACCUGCCCGGAGUCUCCAUUGAGUCCCAUUCAGAUAUGGAGUUAGAUGAUGAUGAGGAGGAGGAAGAAGAAGAGGAGGAAGACAAUGAGCCAUCCCUGCCAGAGCCAGAAGCACAAACCCCAGAGGAGCUAGCACUUGAAUUGGCAUGCAAGCCGUGGCUUCUUAACUUAGAGGAGUUGGUACUGGAGAAGUCAGGCAAGUCGUGGAACGAGAUACUCCAAAGCCGAGGCAGUGCAGUUCCCGUUUCGGAGGGAGAAGUGGAGGACGUGGAGGAGGCGAGCAAGAAGCCACGGACAUAUGAUUGGAUUGUCUGAUGCCUUUUGGCUGCUUGACAUUUGUGCACACUUAGAUUAUCCUGUGUCUUUUGUUUAGUAAGAGUAUGCUAACGGAUUCACUUGGGUGUCGCUUAAGAUUAAUGUUAGCUAUGGGGUCUCAUCACUAGCACCUGUUUUGAACUCUGCGUGUCAUCUGCUUGUCAGUUGUUCGUGCUUUGUCAUUGCUCAAACCUGGUGGAUUAGGUUUUAUUCAGCCUUGUUCAUUUCCUGAAAUUAUGACCAACUCAUUAAGCCUGAAAUUUAAUCCUUUGUUUGUGCAGAAUUUUCUGCUGCAAUCAAGAUAUUCGAUAGAAAAUAAACAUACUACCCGCAUGAUUGUUACUGUUGUGCUAUUCUGAUAACUAGUGGCUGGGGCGCGCCUCCUAGGGCGGUACUGAGUGCACUGACAACACUUUUCAGAAAACUCUCCGCGAAUAGAAGGAUCAACCAUCUUUGACAGAGAAUCAAAGUCAUGAAGCUGACAAUCGGCCCAUCUAACAAAAUGUUGCUCAACACGCGGGCGAGAACUGCAUAUUUCAACAAAAAUGUAGGCACAUGAGGAAGUACAUUCACAUUUUUGUGAAGAUGUGUGAUCUAAAACAGUUACAGAGAAGGUCCUGAUUAAGCACUGCGAAUUACAUCGAAUCACUCACCUGUCAUAUGGUUUACGGCCAGCGAGAAGUUCUAGCAUUACCACAACCAAAACGGUGAACAUCACUUCGAUACGGUGGAACGGUUUUGGUGUGCCUCUGUUGGAAGGAACGACCAACAAAACAAAGGAAUGUUGAGGACUCUUGCCCAGGUUUGAUUUCUGCUCAUUCUUACAGUUUAGUUUCUCCACAUCUUUUAGGAUUCUUGCCUAGGUUUGAUGAUACCAUGGAAAUUUUGGCCGACUAAAUUUUAUUUUUAGCCGUGCACAAACUAUUUCAUGUAAUUUUUGUGCACAAAAUGGAUAUUCGGAGAAAAUGAUUAUUCUUCUUUUUACUAAUCACCCCUGUUUGAUCAUAGCUUAACGAAUUUCCCUUUUUUGUAGAAGUAUAGCCAGCUACAAAAUGCUGAUGCAAAUGAUAUCCAUGGACCUUCACAAGCUCGUCCUAUAUUUUAUUUUUCAAGUUUGUAAUUGUUUUCAUUUUGGAAAAAGUUCAUCUUUGGCCGAAAUGCCAAACAGACUCAACUUUCAGAAUGUCCCAAUCUGGCCCCUCAACUUUCCGUUUGCUCUGCAAUCAACUAAAUUAUGCAAUGGUGCAAUCGAACAUAUUUGAGCCAUCCGAUGUGCAUCCUCUGGCAAUGACUCACGCACGGAGCUCCCACCUUUUUUUUUUGCAGGUGAAGCUCCCACCUCUGGUUGGAUACAUCUUUGCAAACACCACCCCGCGAUCAGCCUUCAUUUUUCAAAAACGCCCCUGGAAACAAUGACCUCCCCCGAUCUUCUUCUCUCAAUAGAUGGAUCUCAGUUUUGGCGAUCCUCGCUGCUAUUGCUGCCGGCCGGCCAGCCACAAGUUUCCCGGAAAUAAUCCCCAUAUCAGAACGAGAACACAUGGAGUACUCGUUCAUAUUGUUCGAAUGAACGCGUUCAUUUUCAAUGUCCAUUGGAAGUUGAGCAUCCCCACCACUAGGUCCACUACUAAUCAAAAACAUUUCUCAACAAGUGAACCGACAGGGCCAUAACCUUGCUGAAAUGUCUCUAACAAACCACCAUUCUAUCUGAUUCCUACUCAGAUCGAGUACUUGUGAUUGUGACCACCUGGGAUGAAUGAAACAUAAAGGAAGCCAACAAGACACCGAUUAGCUCUAUCUGUAGAAAAGGAAUGUUUCGUAUAAGCUAUAUAUCUUGAGGAAUAUGGAAUGCCCAAAAUAAAUGCCACGAACCUUGUUGACUUUAUUUUAUUUUUACAUAAUGGAAAAGGAUUCAUUACCAUAGUUUCCAACUUUCCAUAAGAAACAAGCACUGCUAAAUGCUGAUUAACAUGUCAGUACUAACACGCUGUGGUAAAUGCAGUUGUCGUAGCCCAACUUCAACACUAUAUACUAAUAACACAUAAUAAUAGUAUAGUCUGUGCCCAGAGCUAGUUGAGGGAGGGAUUGUCAGCCUGCAAUAUGCAGAUGAUACUUUUUUUCCCAGAAUGAAUUCGCCCGACACGACGAAUCCCGCCCCCCAUGUCUUUCUUUCUCAUUGAAUGAACCACUGCAUGGGACGCCCUAUGCCUAUGAAUUCAAUGAUUUAAGGGCCCUGGGGGGAAACUUCGGAAAGAAAGCCUACUGGUUGGUCUGGUUGUCCCCCCGACGGUGCCCGGGCGGUCCUCGGUUCAAUCUUGCCGAUUCUACCUAGACAUGGCUCAAAACGAAAGGGUAAGGCCAAGUGUUCUUAAAACAAAACUCUCGGUGCACACUCCGGAGCACGGUCUUCUGCUUUUUGUGGCAGAUGGCACUAGGAAAGCCACCAACCUUAAGUGGAUCCUCACCUGUUUUGAGCAGUCAUCGGGGACGAGAAUAAACUAUCACAAGAGUGAGCUCAUUGCAGUUGGCAUGGAAGAUGUAGAGAUUAGACCUUUUAUUGACAUUUUCUAAUGUGCAGAGGGGCAUUUCCCCGGUAAGUAUUUGGGGAUUCCCUUGCACUUUGAGAGCUUAAAAAGAGCUGACUUGCAAUCUGUGGUAGACAAAUUGAUGAAUAUGAUUGCUGGCUGAAGGGGGAAAUUGUUGUCAAGUGGGGGUAGACUUGCUUUGAUCAAAACUGAACAAAUCCAACGUGCAACAUGAUAUGAAUCCGUAUCUAACACUAACAUCACCCGAGAUGAAAAAUCAAACUCGGUUUACGACCUAGUGAAUACGACUAGACUACAAACUAAACUGUAUACUGACAUGCGGACCCAGCCCCACCGGUCAGUGACUCGCUGGUCGGCUCUGCUCCUCGAUGAACACUUCCUCAGGUCAGCCCCUGCACAGGCCAUCGGGUACCGCGACACAUACGAUGGAUGGGUCUUGGGCACAUACGGUAGAUGGGUCUUGGGCUCUUGGCAAACUGCCCUGAGGGCCACCGAGCCCAGAGCAGGGGCCCGACCAAUUUUCCUAGCCACCCCCCGCCUGUGGCCCAUUUUCUCUCCUCAGUCCCCAAUCCUCACUUUCGCUCUCCAUAGGGGGGAACCCGGCCGGACUGCCGGCGCAAAUCCGAUCUCGAUUCCAGUUCCGAUUCCACAAAAAUCAAAUCGAGUCUAGGCUGUAGAGGAACUUGAGAUGAAGGAUCUCAAGUUCCGAUUCCUUCCGCCGCAUUACGACUCCGGCGACGCAAGGCCAUGCUUUUCGCUGCUAGAAAAGCACGCCUACCUCGUCCGCCGCCAAAACGCCACAACCGCCGCCCUCGACCUCGACAGCGGACGGAUCCAGGCCACCUUCUGCGCCGCCCACCCGCCACGCGCAUCCUACUUGUGCAUCCAUGCCACCGGCUUGGGUCGCACUAAGCUCCGCGCCGAGCCCCAGAUCUUGGCCACGGAGGGGGCCCUCGCCGUCAUCCGCGUCGUCGUCAACCGUCGCAAGUCGUUCGUGGAGGUGGAGUACUUCGUCUACCACGCCGGCAGCAGCUCCUCCGAGGGACGCCGGCCGCCGUCGCUCAAGCGCAUCCCGAACCCCGCACCCUACUUUUUCUUCAACGAAAAUACGGUUGCCAUCGUGCGCCACUGCCCUCGUCAAGCCAGCACCCGGCGUCGCCCCGGCGGCCUCAGUGCCUGCGCCCUGCGCCCCAACCGACGAGACAGCAAGGAGGAGGAGGAUCAUGACUGCGGCGACUGCAACUACAUCAUCGCGGCACUCCGCAACGACGAUUCCAACACCAGGGCACCCUACCAGCUCUGCCGGUACCACUCCAAGACUGAAACUUGGAGCCCUCCCGAGCCAAUGGAAACCGAGUGGGAGCACGGACCUUACCCUUCCGGUUCCUCCUGCAAGGCCAUUACCAUCGGAGGAGAGCAAGGCACAGUGGCCUGGGUCGCUCUGAACAAGGGCGGCAGGGGUAUCAUCUUUUGCGACGUGCUCACAAUAACAGACAGCAGCCCCCGGCCUCCGGUGCUUCGCUGCCUCGACAUGCCGCCGAAAAUCAAAACUUUCAGUGGACGUUCAUAUUAUGUCCGGGAGAUUGACCUCGUCGACGGCUUCAUCGUCUACAUCGAGUUGCAGAUACGUGACCUUGCGCCAGACACACCUACAGAUGAAUAUGUUUGGAUGGCCAGCACAUGGAAAUUCAAGAUCGACUCAUCUUUGCCGUUUUCAUCUAUCCAAUGGCAGCGGGGAUGCAAGUUAGGCUCCUCUGAGAUCAACAAAUCCAUGCGUGAUAAGCUUAAA